rnacentral:rRNA from 1 species
AGAGUUUGAUCAUGGCUCAGGACGAACGCUGGCGGCGUGCUUAACACAUGCAAGUCGAACGGGCCUUCUACUGCUUUUGUGGUGGCUGGUUAGUGGCGAACGGGUGAGUAACACGUGAGUAACCUGCCCCUUUUUUUGGGAUAACCGCCUGAAAGGGUGGCUAAUACUGGAUAUUCUGCUUUGGUCGCAUGAUCGUGGUUGGAAAGGUUUUUUCUGGUGAGGGAUGGGCUCGCGGCUUAUCAGCUUGUUGGUGGGGUAAUGGCUUACCAAGGCUUUGACGGGUAGCCGGCCUGAGAGGGCGGUCGGUCACAUUGGGACUGAGAUACGGCCCAGACUCCUACGGGAGGCAGCAGUGGGGAAUAUUGCACAAUGGACGGAAGUCUGAUGCAGCGACGCCGCGUGAGGGAUGACGGCCUUCGGGUUGUAAACCUUUUUCGCUCUUGACCAAGUGCAUGGUUUGUCAUGUGUGAGGGUAUGGGGUAAAGAAGCACCGGCUAACUACGUGCCAGCAGCCGCGGUAAUACGUAGGGUGCGAGCGUUGUCCGGAAUUAUUGGGCGUAAAGGGCUUGUAGGUGGCGUGUCGCGUCUGCCGUGAAAUUCAUUGGCUUAACUGGUGGAGUGCGGUGGGUACGGGCAUGCUUGAGUGUGGUAGGGGAGAUUGGAAUUCCUGGUGUAGCGGUGGAAUGCGCAGAUAUCAGGAGGAACACCGGUGGCGAAGGCGGAUCUCUGGGCCAUUACUGACGCUGAGGAGCGAAAGCGUGGGGAGCAAACAGGAUUAGAUACCCUGGUAGUCCACGCUGUAAACGGUGGGCACUAGGUGUGGGGACUUUUGUGGUUUCUGCGCCGUAGCUAACGCAUUAAGUGCCCCGCCUGGGGAGUACGGCCGCAAGGCUAAAACUCAAAGGAAUUGACGG